rnacentral:piRNA from 1 species
UAGGACAGAUGUCAUGUUUACAAGGUCUUC